rnacentral:rRNA from 1 species
CCUACGGGAGGCAGCAGUGAGGAAUAUUGGUCAAUGGGCGCGAGCCUGAACCAGCCAAGUAGCGUGAAGGAUGACUGCCCUACGGGUUGUAAACUUCUUUUAUAAAGGAAUACAGUGAGGCACGGGUGCCUUUUUGUAUGUACUUUAUGAUUAAGGAACGGCUAAACCCGUGCCAGCAGCCGCGGUAAUACGGAGGAUCGGACGGUUAUCCGGACUUAUUGGGUUUAAAGGGAGCGUAAAUGGGUUGUUAAGUCAGGUGUGAAAGUUUGUGGCUCAACCGUAAAAUUGCAAUUGAUACUAGCAGUCUUGAGUACGAUUGAGGUAGGCGGAAUUCGUGGUGUAGCGGUGAAAUGCGUAGAUAUCACGAAGAACUCCGAUUGCGAAGGCAGCUUACUAAGCUGCCACUGACACUGAUGCACGAAAGUGUGGGGAUCAAACAGGAUUAGAUACCCUUGUAGUC